AACUUUCAACAACGGAUCUCUUGGUUCUGGCAUCGAUGAAGAACGCAGCGAAAUGCGAUAAGUAGUGUGAAUUGCAGAAUUCAGUGAAUCAUCGAAUCUUUGAACGCACAUUGCGCCCCUUGGUAUUCCAUGGGGCAUGCCUGUUCGAGCGUCAUUUGUACCCUCAAGCUCUGCUUGGUGUUGGGUGUUUGUCCUCUCUUUGCAUUGGACUCGCCUCAAAGCAAUUGGCAGCCGGCGUAUUGGCCUGGGAGCGCAGCACAUUUUGCGAUCUCUGUCAGAUUACGACGGCAUCCAUCAAGCCUCUUUAUCACUUUUGACCUCGGAUCAGGUAGGGAUACCCGCUGAACUUAAGCAUAUCAAUAAGCGGAGGAAAAGAAACCAACAGGGAUUGCCCUAGUAACGGCGAGUGAAGCGGCA
rnacentral:misc_RNA from 1 species